CAAUAGCGUAUAUUAACGUUGUUGCAGUUAAAAAGCUCGUAGUUGGAUUUCUGGAGGGAGCGUCGGCCCGUAUUUACGAGUGCGUGACGUCUCUGUCCAUCCUUGCGGGAAGGCACGGCAUUGAUUUGUUGUGUCGGAUCGCAUCAUUUACUGUGAAAAAAUUAGAGUGUUCAAAGCAGGCUUUCGCUUGAAUACAUUAGCAUGGAGUAAUAAGAUAGGACUUUGGUGCUAUUUUGUUGGUUGAGCCUAAAGUAAUGAUUAAUAGGGAUAGUUGGGGGCACCUGUAUUGCGUUGUCAGAGGUGAAAUUCUUGGAUUUACGCAAGACAAACAGCUGCGAANGNGUCUGCNAAGGAUGUUUNCAUUA
rnacentral:rRNA from 1 species